rnacentral:rRNA from 1 species
GUAGGUGGCAAGCGUUGUCCGGAAUUAUUGGGCGUAAAGCGCGCGCAGGUGGUUCUUUAAGUCUGAUGUGAAAGACCCCCGGGCUCAACCGGGGAGGGUCAUUGGAAACUGGGGAACUUGAGUGCAGGAGAGGAAAGUGGAAUUCCACGUGUAGCGGUGAAAUGCGUAGAUAUGUGGAGGAACACCAGUGGCGAAGGCGACUUUCUGGCCUGUAACUGACACUGAGGCGCGAAAGCGUGGGGAGCAAACAGGAUUAGAUACCCUGGUAGUCCACGCCGUAAACGAUGAGUGCUAAGUGUUGGGGGGUUUCCGCUCCUCAGUGCUGCAGCUAACGCAUUAAGCACUCCGCCUGGGGAGUACGGUCGCAAGACUG